UACAGAGGGUGCUAGCGUUGUUCGGAAUCAUUGGGCGUAAAGGGCGCGUAGGCGGCCACCGCAAGUCAAUUGUGAAAUCUCCGGGCUCAACCCGGAAAGGUCAACUGAUACUGCGGGGCUAGAGUGCAGAAGGGGCAACUGGAAUUCUCGGUGUAGCGGUGAAAUGCGUAGAUAUCGAGAGGAACACCUGCGGCGAAGGCGGGUUGCUGGGCUGACACUGACGCUGAGGCGCGAAAGCUAGGGGAGCGAACGGG
rnacentral:rRNA from 1 species